rnacentral:rRNA from 1 species
GAUGAACGCUAGCGGGAGGCCUAACACAUGCAAGCCGAGCGGUAGAGAUUCUUCGGAAUCUUGAUAGCGGCGUACGGUUGCGGAACACGUGUGCAACCUGCCUUUAUCAGGGUGAUAGCCUUUCUAAAGGAGGAUUAAUACCCCAUAAUAUAUUUGAUGGCAUCAUUAGAUAUUGAAAGCUUUUGCGGAUAGAGAUGGGCACGCGCAAGAUUAUAUAGUUGGUGAGGUAACGGCUCACCAAGCCGAUGAUCUUUAGGGGGCCUGAGAGGGUGAUCCCCCACACUGGUACUGAGACACGGACCAGAAUCCUACGGGAGGCAGCAGUGAGGAAGAUUGGACAAUGGGUUAGCGCCUGAUCCAGCCAUCCCGCGUGAAGGACGACGGCCCUAUGGGUGGUAAACUUCUGUUGUACAGGGAUAAACCUACUCUCGGGAGAGUAGCUGAAGGUACUGUAAGAAUAAGCACCGGCUAACUCCGUG